rnacentral:rRNA from 1 species
AGUGAACGCUGGCGGCGUGCUUAACACAUGCAAGUCGAACGAGAACGGAUUAUAGCUUGCUAUAAUUGUCAGCUAAGUGGCGCACGGGUGAGUAAUGUAUAGGUAAUAUGCCUCUUACUAAGGGAUAACAAUUGGAAACGAUUGCUAAUACCUUAUACUCCUUGUUAACUUAAGUUAAUAAGGGAAAGAUUUAUUGGUAAGAGAUUAGCCUGUAUUGUAUCAGUUAGUUGGUGGGGUAAUGGCCUACCAAGACUAUGACACAUAACUGGUUUGAGAGGAUGAUCAGUCACACUGGAACUGAGACACGGUCCAGACUCCUACGGGAGGCAGCAGUGGGGAAUUUUCCGCAAUGGGCGAAAGCCUGACGGAGCAAUACCGCGUGAGGGAAGAAUGCCUAUGGGUUGUAAACCUCUUUUUUCUAGGGAGGAAUAAAAUAGACGUGUACCUGAAGAAUAAGCAUCGGCUAACUCCGUG